ensembl:processed_transcript Gm14207 predicted gene 14207
CUCGCCACCAGAGGAUAGGAGGGUAGCCCAGUGAUGCGGCGGGAGACUUUAGGUAGCUCCUGCCUCGCUGGCCUCCAGCCUAUGUGUGCCCACCCUCCACGCGUCCCCAGCACCGCAGGGAAGCCAUCCGACGCGUUAACCUUUCCCUGGCUAUUCCAAGCAAGGCAAAGGGCCAAGCGUCUAGGACUCUGGUCUUCUCUGCACCUGUGCCUAUCUCACCUGGGUCGCGCUUGGUCUCCAUAUCCUCAUCCUGGCCCCCACCCGCGUCCCCUAGCUCCGCUGGAGUAGGGAGGAAACUUUCUUAAUUCCAGAAUUUCCUUGGGCCACUUGAGAGGCAAGGCAACAUGAAGACAACCAGAGGCCACCUCGGGGGCGGGGCACAAAUGAAAUUCACGGGUAGAGGAAAAGACAGAGGACACACUCCUAAGGGAAGAGGCAAUAGGAGCAGAACGGAGGAGGGGAAAGAGCAGAGCGUGAAAAGUCAAGGUUUCGGGGCCUUUUUUGGUAGGAGGCCUGUGAUAAGGUUCUUGACUGAACAACCUGGCCUUCUAGAGAAAACCUUCCCACUGAGACAACUCUCCUGCGGGAGGGUUUCAGAGCAGCGGCCUGCAGAAAGGAAGAGAUGUCAUCCUUGAAUGGAUCUAAUCAGAGAGGGUGCUGGCCUCAGAGGGGGGGGGGGGGCGGGGGCGCGCUCGGCUUUUCCUCAUACCUCUGAGAGACCCUACUUCCUGGGUUCACUGUCCACUGUCUGGUUGCUCAUGCCUGAUGACUCAACAUAUGCCAAAUAAAGGAUACCCAAGUGGGCAGGAUUACUGGG